ensembl:lncRNA
AAACAGGAAGAAAGCCUGCCCAAGCCUGGUUUCAUAGCAUAACACAGCAGUAGUGUUAGAGAAGUAAAAAUGGGCUGAUGAGGCUUUCAUUCAGUAACACAACAGUGGCAACUUGAAUACUAAGGAAAAAUUUCACUUUAUAUAAAUGUGUGUGUGUGUAUGUAGUGGAUGCUUUCUCCUGCAUUAUUUUUUGAUGAAGAUGUUGAGAUGGCAUAUUUGGAUGCUUAACGAAAAAACUCCAAACCAUCUUUAGCUUCAGAUGCUGAAAAGAGUUGACUGUCUGCUCUUUCCCAUAGUGCAUCCUUUUGCUGCGUGAUUGACGUUACUGUUCUGGAGGGCAGCCCACACUGACUGAAAAUGAUCCUCACAGCGCAGAGAUGCACGCUAGAUUUCUUCCCAGUUAUGCAACAUGCUGGUCAUAUGCCAAAGCAGAAAAAUCACUGUUCACAGGACCAUGCAGGAAAACACCAGAAAUGUGAGAGCUAACCUGGGAGCCACAGGGGACUGACUAGGGGAGAUCACUGGGGUCUCUGUCGAGCACUCAGCAGAUGCCCAGUCCGCAUAUUACCCUAAUCUCUAUCAGAGGCCUUCUUGUCUCCAGCUGCAACAAUGGUCCAGAGUUGGUUGUUUUUUAAUGUCCUGCAUCUCUAAAAAGGUAGUCUGUUUCACCCACUGAGCUGAAGCUAUGAUGAUUUCAUGAGAAGAACUUCUGUCUAAUAAACUGGUAUUAAAUGAAGAAUAUUAGAUAUUAGCAUCCAAUCUUAUAUCUGAAAACACAGAAAACACAGAAUUUUGAUUACAGCUUUGUCAGUCUAUAUCUCCUUAGACUUCCAAGUUCCUUUUGACUCAGACUGCUUUGACAAUUGCGUAUUUGUUAAUAGAAAUGUGUGAAACUACAAAGUGAUGUUAUGAAGUGACAUUUACAAGACAAAGCAUAAGUAACUUAAAAGGAUUUUAGUAUCUAUUACUACUAUGGAAGUCCAGUUUUGUUUAGAGAAUAGAAAGAAUGAUGCAUGAGUAUGAAAGGCUAUUAACCUGUAGCUAGAAUAGUUUUUAAAGACCUCAUAUAUGGUAAAAAAGACAAAUGAGAUUAGGCCCUCUAAAAUUAAUUUGAAGUUGAAAAUAUUUUGAAUAUUAUAUUAUGAAAAUAAUUUGAAGUUUUCUGUCCAAUUGGAUUAAUUUGGCUAAGAUUUAUAGAUAUAGUGUCGAUAAAAUUGUAUAUUGCAAAUAAAUAAAGAAAUCUGAGCAUAAUUCAGUGUGUUGGAAGCACUCUUCUUUCUAUUUUACUUGUGAGAUAAAAUGUAAUUUCUUGAAUUACUGGAGUCCAUUAAGGAAAAGCAAGGGUGUGUGGUCCAAAAUCUCAAAGGGAUUCUGUUUUAUGUUCGGGAAGCAGUUUGUUCAUGUUCUCCCAGACAAAUAUUUGUUACUUCACCAUUAAAUCAAAGA